UACGGGAGGCAGCAGUGGGGAAUAUUGCACAAUGGGCGCAAGCCUGAUGCAGCCAUGCCGCGUGUAUGAAGAAGGCCUUCGGGUUGUAAAGUACUUUCAGCGGGGAGGAAGGCGGUGAAGUUAAUAGCUUCACCGAUUGACGUUACCCGCAGAAGAAGCACCGGCUAACUCCGUGCCAGCAGCCGCGGUAAUACGGAGGGUGCAAGCGUUAAUCGGAAUUACUGGGCGUAAAGCGCACGCAGGCGGUCUGUCAAGUCGGAUGUGAAAUCCCCGGGCUUAACCUGGGAACUGCAUUCGAAACUGGCAGGCUAGAGUCUUGUAGAGGGGGUAGAAUUCCAGGUGUAGCGGUGAAAUGCGUAGAGAUCUGGAGGAAUACCGGUGGCGAAGGCGGCCCCCUGGGACAAAGACUGACGCUCAGGGUGCGAAAGCGUGGGGAGCAAACAGGAUUAGAUACC
rnacentral:rRNA from 1 species